rnacentral:rRNA from 1 species
UUGGAGGGCAAGUCUGGUGCCAGCAGCCGCGGUAAUUCCAGCUCCAAUAGCGUAUAUUAAAGUUGUUGCAGUUAAAAAGCUCGUAGUUGAAUUUCGGGAUCAAAUUGUUGGUCGUGCUUCAGUACGCACUGGCAUUAUUGGUUCUUACCUUCUGAAGAACCGCGAUGUCAUUAAUUUGGUGUCGUGGGGAAUCAGGACUGUUACUUUGAAAAAAUUAGAGUGUUUAAAGCAGGCGCACGCUUGAAUACAUUAGCAUGGAAUAAUGAAAUAGGACGUUUGAUUCUAUUUUGUUGGUUUCUAGGAUCGACGUAAUGAUUAAUAGGGAUAGUUGGGGGCAUUAGUAUUCAAUUGUCAGAGGUGAAAUUCUUGGAUUUAUUGAAGACUAACUACUGCGAAAGCAUUUGCCAAGGAUGUUUUCAUUAAUCAAGAACGAAAGUUAGGGGAUCGAAGACGAUCAGAUACCGUCGUAGUCUUAACCAUAAACUAUGCCGACUAGGAAUCAGACGAUGUUAAUUUUUUAAUGACUCGUUUGGCACCUUACGGGAAACCAAAG